UGCGUAGGCGGAUUAAUAAGUCAGUGGUGAAAACCUUCAGCUUAACUGGAGAACUGCCAUUGAUACUAUUAGUCUUGAGUACGGUCAAGGUAGGCGGAAUGUGUAAUGUAGCGGUGAAAUGCUUAGAUAUUACACAGAACACCGAUUGCGAAGGCAGCUUACUGGGCCAUUACUGACGCUGAUGCACGAAAGCGUGGGGAGCGAACAGGAUUAGAUACCCUGGUAGUCC
rnacentral:rRNA from 1 species